rnacentral:lncRNA from 1 species
UCACACUUGAACGACUACUAAAAUAUAAAACAAAUAUCUCACAUAAAAAAAUUAAUGGUAUUGAACCAAUAUUCUGAAGUAAAAUCUUAACACGAAACAAUCCACUUUUGACAAUCAAAUGAGCUAGCUCUAUUCUGAAGGUGUAGCAUUACAAUUUACGACAUAGUCUCCGGUCACUAACCUGCAGGGGCAGGUUUGUACACAGGUGUGUUAAAAAUAAACCUUUCUAAGAAGAAAAGACAGAGUAAAAGAGCAAAAAGCUUGGCUCAACUCAAUUUCUGACAGGAAGCCGAUAAUCUCCAUCUAUUAUGUUUUCUUGAGUUCCACAUCUCCACCAGUACCCGACAAUCAGAUUCAAAGGAAACAUCAGGCCAUUCUUCCUUGUUUUAAUAGCAAUUUAGUAAUAUAACAGAGGCAACAGAGAUGUCAG